AUGUGUUGCGUUACCAGGAGGGCUUUCUCCAUCUUGCUAGGCCUUCUCAGGGUGGGUGUUUUGAGGCAUGGAUUCUCCUACCACCCUCUCACGGGAUGGUGGAUGUGGCCCGGCUGCUUUAUCAGGUCUCACGAUGGGGGAAGAGCAGUCCUGCCUGUGCUGCUUGCACGAAAAAUCCCUUACCUGCUGAUGCGACACUGCGGAACACGAGGAAACAAAUUUAUCUUCAGGCAGCGUUGUUCAAAGCCUCGGGAAAACAGGCAGGGGCGAAGUGUCCUGUCUUUCCUUCGGCACGACUGCCCAGGUCUGGAGACAAGCCUUGCGGAAAGUCAGCGCUGGGGCUUUAGCUCCACAUCGUCCUACUCUGCCUUUCCUGGGACGCAGAUGUCCUUGGGUUUCAAACCUGAACAGGGGGAAGAUUCAUCCUAGCCAGGCGUGAAGAUCCCACAGGAUUGUUCUGGUGUUGUUCCAGGGCACCUGUGCUACGUGGGGCGUGCGUCAGGAAUAAACACCGAUUCUUGUUGGCA
rnacentral:lncRNA from 1 species